rnacentral:tRNA from 1 species
GACCUAAACUUCAGCCCAUUGAGUCAAGUUGAUUAAACUUGACAGCAUCAUAUUAAGAUGAGGCUGAGGUCAUCCCAGGUCGAGCGAAGCAAGAUUUGAGAACGGCUUUCAAACUAUAACUAGGUUCUUUUAUGGGCUAUUAGCUCAGGUGGUUAGAGCGCACCCCUGAUAAGGGUGAGGUCCCUGGUUCAAGUCCAGGAUAGCCCACCUAACUAAUUAACUUUUAGUCUUGGGGGUAUAGCUCAGUUGGUAGAGCGCUGCCUUUGCACGGCAGAAGUCAGCGGUUCGAGUCCGCUUAUCUCCACUCCAAUUAGGAGAUAAAAGUUUAGAGAGGUUAAGAUAAAUUCAGCAAGAGAUAGAAAUCGAACUGCUGGAUAAUUAUCCAGUCAGAACCUUGAAAACUGCAUAGAGUCAAAAGUCAGGUAAGUCUGUAUAAACAGACAAGGUCAAGCUAGAAAGGGCUAACGGUGAAUACCUAGGCACACAGAGGCGAAG